CUGGUCUCAUUGUAUGAUUGUUGACCACCCGAUGGUUGGGAUGGCUGGUAUCCAGUUGUUGAGUAGGUGUAGUUCUGCAAAAAAUAGGUUAGGUAGUGUAUAAAUGCAAAACUUUUAAAAACGCAUUUGCUGGUAUCGUAAUGAAAAAUGUGUGGCACUCAAGUUUAAGACUACAACUUGAAUCGUACGUUUUAAUCUGAUUUCUUUAUUAAAAUUUCA
ensembl:ncRNA C46G7.108 ncRNA